UUUUAUGGAUGAGCAAAGAAAGUAUUUUCUUGGGAUAGAAUCUACUCCUGGUGAAGAUGCUGUAAA
rnacentral:pre_miRNA from 1 species